rnacentral:rRNA from 1 species
AGCCGCGGUAAUACUCGCGGUCCAAGUCGCAGCCAUUUUUAUUGGGUCUAAAACAUCCGUAGCUUGCUUUGCAAGUUCUCUGUGAAAUCCCGUUUCUCAAGGGCGGGGCGGGCAAAGAAUACUACAAUAGCUAGAGACUGGAAGACGUAAGAAGUAUGUUCGAAGUAGCGGUAAAAUGUGUUAAUCUCGAACAGACUAACAAGAGCGAAGGCAUCUUACGAGGACAGUUCUGACAGUAAGGGAUGAAGGCUAAGGUCGCGAAAGGGAUUAGAUACCCCUGUAGUCUUAGCAGUAAACACUGUACACUAAACAUCAGUACCUCCUCGAGAGGUAUUGGUGCUGAAGGGAAGCCGAAGAGUGUACUACCUGGGAAGUAUAGCCGCAAGGCCGAAACUUAAAGGAAUUGGCGGGGAGACACUACAACAGGUGACGCGUGCGGUUCAAUUAGAUUCUACACCGUGAACCUCACCAGGAGCGACAGCAGAAUGAAGGUCAGUCUGAAGGGCUUACCUGACACGCUGAGAGGUGGUGCAUGGCC